GAUGAACGCUGGCGGUGUGCCUUAAGCAUGCAAGUCGAGCGGGGUCUGGUAGCAAUACCAGAUUCAGCGGCAGACGGGUGAGUAAUACGUAGGAAUCUACCUCUUUGUGGGGAAUAGCUCCGCGAAAGCGGAGGUAAUACCGCAUGAUAUCGUAAGAUCAAAGGCCUUAACCGGUCGCGAAGAGAGGAGCCUGCGUCCUAUCAGCUAGUUGGCGGGGUAAAUGCCCACCAAGGCGAUGACGGGUAGGGGAUGUGAGAGCAUGAUCCCCCACAAAGUCACUGAGACACGGGACUUACACCUACGGGUGGCAG
rnacentral:rRNA from 1 species